rnacentral:rRNA from 1 species
AGAGUUUGAUCAUGGCUCAGAGCGAACGCUGGCGGCAGGUUUAAACACAUGCAAGUCCGAGCGGGCGUAGCAAUACGUCAGCGGCAGACGGGUGAGUAACGCGUGGGAACGUACCUUUUGGUUCGGAACAACACAGGGAAACUUGUGCUAAUACCGGAUAAGCCCUUACGGGGAAAGAUUUAUCGCCGAAAGAUCGGCCCGCGUUCUGAUUAGCUAGUUGGUGAGGUAACGGCUCACCAAGGCGACGAUCAGUAGCUGGUCUGAGAGGAUGAUCAGCCACAUUGGGACUGAGACACGGCCCAAACUCCUACGGGAGGCAGCAGUGGGGAAUAUUGGACAAUGGGCGCAAGCCUGAUCCAGCCAUGCCGCGUGAGUGAUGAAGGCCCUAGGGUUGUAAAGCUCUUUUGUGCGGGAAGAUAAUGACGGUACCGCAAGAAUAAGCCCCGGCUAACUUCGUGCCAGCAGCCGCGGUAAUACGAAGGGGGCUAGCGUUGCUCGGAAUCACUGGGCGUAAAGGGUGCGUAGGCGGGUCUUUAAGUCAGGGGUGAAAUCCUGGAGCUCAACUCCAGAACUGCCUUUGAUACUGAAGAUCUUGAGUUUCGGGAGAGGUGAGUGGAACUGCGAGUGUAGAGGUGAAAAUUUCGUAGAUAUUUCGCAAAGAACACCAAGUGGCGAAGGCGGCUCACUGGCCCGAAUACUGACGCUGAGGCACGAAAGCGUGGGGAGCAAACAGGAUUAGAUACCCCUGUAGUCC